UAGACCUGUGAGUGGGAGCGGGUAGAUGGGUGCCUUGUUUAACCAGACCGACUGCCGAACCCCAUCUUCGUGUCGUUAUCCUUAUCAGGCGAGUGUGUGACAGGCUUCUCUGCUGCCUUCGGGGUCCUUUAAACGAGCGGAUGGCUUCGCAGUCGCCUCAGUUCGUCGGCAGCCGUCCCACAGUGCGGAUGACCCAAAGCGGACCGCCGACCUCCGACCUUUGACAUCGAAAGUUCGGUUGCGUUCGCGAUUUUUUGCCGCGCUGUCAUCGCGAUUUUGAACGCUUUCGAACCGUUCUGUGUUUUGUUGGUGCCGUAAUUCCGAGGAUAGGAUACAAAAAAAAAAAAACAGAGUAAAAAAGGCAUCAAGAGUUACAUGACUAAAUAAAGUAAAGCCUCCUCGUUCAAUAACAAAUCAAUCGAAAUAUGUAUACCCGCUUUGCUGGAUGCACCCACGGUAAUUGAACGAUUUUAUCUUCGCAAUGAUGCCUUAAAUUAGCACAAGUUUGCAAAUGUAACGACUCGAAUCCAGAUGAUAUAUUGCAUCGAUGCCUCUCGUGCAGGCGCAUUAAGUUCGCUUAUUGCCGGCAAUAAACUCAUUUACGUACUCGA